rnacentral:rRNA from 1 species
UCCUGGGGGCGUGCCUAAUAAUGCAAGUCGAGCGGACAGAUGGGAGCUUGCUCCCUGAUGUUAGCGGCGGACGGGUGAGUAACACGUGGGUAACCUGCCUGUAAGACUGGGAUAACUCCGGGAAACCGGGGCUAAUACCGGAUGGUUGUCUGAACCGCAUGGUUCAGACAUAAAAGGUGGCUUCGGCUACCACUUACAGAUGGACCCGCGGCGCAUUAGCUAGUUGGUGAGGUAACGGCUCACCAAGGCGACGAUGCGUAGCCGACCUGAGAGGGUGAUCGGCCACACUGGGACUGAGACACGGCCCAGACUCCUACGGGAGGCAGCAGUAGGGAAUCUUCCGCAAUGGACGAAAGUCUGACGGAGCAACGCCGCGUGAGUGAUGAAGGUUUUCGGAUCGUAAAGCUCUGUUGUUAGGGAAGAACAAGUGCCGUUCAAAUAGGGCGGCACCUUGACGGUACCUAACCAGAAAGCCACGGCUAACUACGUGCCAGCAGCCGCGGUAAUACGUAGGUGGCAAGCGUUGUCCGGAAUUAUUGGGCGUAAAGGGCUCGCAGGCGGUUUCUUAAGUCUGAUGUGAAAGCCCCCGGCUCAACCGGGGAGGGUCAUUGGAAACUGGGGAACUUGAGUGCAGAAGAGGAGAGUGGAAUUCCACGUGUAGCGGUGAAAUGCGUAGAGAUGUGGAGGAACACCAGUGGCGAAGGCGACUCUCUGGUCUGUAACUGACGCUGAGGAGCGAAAGCGUGGGGAGCGAACAGGAUUAGAUACCCUGGUAGUCCACGCCGUAAACGAUGAGUGCU